rnacentral:rRNA from 1 species
AGCGAACGCUGGCGGCAGGCUUAACACAUGCAAGUCGAGCGGGCAUAGCAAUAUGUCAGCGGCAGACGGGUGAGUAACGCGUGGGAACGUACCUUUUGGUUCGGAACAACACAGGGAAACUUGUGCUAAUACCGGAUAAGCCCUUACGGGGAAAGAUUUAUCGCCGAAAGAUCGGCCCGCGUCUGAUUAGCUAGUUGGUGAGGUAAUGGCUCACCAAGGCGACGAUCAGUAGCUGGUCUGAGAGGAUGAUCAGCCACAUUGGGACUGAGACACGGCCCAAACUCCUACGGGAGGCAGCAGUGGGGAAUAUUGGACAAUGGGCGCAAGCCUGAUCCAGCCAUGCCGCGUGAGUGAUGAAGGCCCUAGGGUUGUAAAGCUCUUUUGUGCGGGAAGAUAAUGACGGUACCGCAAGAAUAAGCCCCGGCUAACUUCGUGCCAGCAGCCGCGGUAU